UGUAGACUAUAGCUAUAGCACACCAAAUAAGCGAAAUAUAAGCACAACUAAAACAAUUAUGAUAAUGGUAGUGAUGUAGAACAGCUAAGAGUCUUAUGAAACAAAGAAAACUGAAUUUGGAGAAUUAGAGAAAUUAUGGCUCAAAAAAUGACCGCAAAUUUUUUACUUUAUCAAAGCAAAAUUUAAGCAAACAAAAAUAAAGUACUAUUCUCACAAUAGCAGGAUCUAGAACUCACUUCUAUCAAGAAAGCCUGGUAAUGGUAAAUUUAAGAUUAGAAUUGGAUCAAAACUUCAGAAACAUAAUUGUUGUUAUUUUACAGCACAAUAAUUAAUGAAAAGCCUUACAAGCUUUGGUAUUUAUAGACUCUAAUGUAGUCCUAAACCUUCUAGUGGUUGGACUUCAUAAUAUAUAUAAGAUUUGGAAAAAAUAAAAUCCAUUUUUUAUUUGACUGCCAGACUAAUUAGGUGAUGUAGAGCCAGGGAAACAAAGGGGAAUAAUGGGGUGAG
rnacentral:misc_RNA from 1 species